rnacentral:rRNA from 1 species
CGGGGGGAGCAAGCGUUGUUCGGAUUUACUGGGCGUAAAGGGCGCGUAGGCGGCGCAACAAGUCACUUGUGAAAUCUCCGGGCUUAACCCGGAGCGGUCAAGUGAUACUGUCGUGCUAGAGUGCGGAAGGGGCAACUGGAAUUCUCGGUGUAGCGGUGAAAUGCGUAGAUAUCGAGAGGAACACCUGCGGCGAAGGCGGGUUGCUGGGCCGACACUGACGCUGAGGCGCGAAAGCCAGGGGAGCGAACGGGAUUAGAUACCCCGGUAGUCCUGGCCUUAAACGAUGGAUGCUUGGUGUCCGAGGUUAGAUAGUCCUCGGGUGCCGUCGCUAACGCUUUAAGCAUCCCGCCUGGGGAGUACGCACGCAAGUGUG